CGCCACACGGUACUGGUUCGGUUUGGUUAUGGCACAUAUUCGUUUAUUGUUUUCUUUAUUUGAUAGUGUUCAAUGCUUUUCUUAUUAAAAUCGUCAUGAACACUUUACCACGCCGCAUCUUGGUGCGAUCCUUACUCCAAUUCAGACGAAGAGGAAAUCUGCCGUUACAAUUUCAACAGUCCCUGAAGGACAAUACAGAAGAGGCACACAGGGGACUCGAGACCACAGCAGCGAUCCUGCUCUUGCCCUACCUCUUCAAUGAGGACCCGAGUGGUCUUCAUGUCCGUGACAAGAUUUCACCGCUCCCCACUCCUUUACUGCACAUCGACGGAAAAUCCCGCUGCCCUUUGAUGGGGAGAACAUGCACGCCCUAGAGGACAUUCCCAUGGGACUUGUGGCUCUGCUAGGGCUUUUAUUUCCCAAAGAUUUCUGAGAAACACUUAUAUUCUUAAAUUACUGUGUUCUGGGGGUGAAGUUACCAGGGCCGGUCAUUAAGAUGGCAAACUUCCUAACAUAACUAAGUGGUUUAAGGACAGACACACACUCAAGCAAAAAAAAUCUGUAUUUAGCAUUAAGUCUACAAUAUUGUUAGUUUACCUAUGCUUCAUUUUUAAUGUAUCUUGUUUUUAUUGUACAUUAUUUAAAAUAAAAAAUUGUAAUGAAAAGCACUAUACAAAGUAAGUGUAUUUACUAUGGUCUGCAGAAAUGUUG